rnacentral:rRNA from 1 species
UUAGCGAUUUAAUUACAACUCCAAACCCCUGUGACUUACCUAUGUUGCCUUGGCAGGUCGUGGUGUGUAGCGUGAUCGCUAUAAGGGAUCACCGCCUCGCACCACGCUGAAAGACCUGUCAAAGGACCCCUAAACUCUGUCUUACAACUGUAUCUCUGAGUCUAUUAUAUAAACAAGUUAAAACUUUCAACAACGGAUCUCUUGGCUCUGGCAUCGAUGAAGAACGCAGCGAAAUGCGAUAAGUAAUGUGAAUUGCAGAAUUCAGUGAAUCAUCGAAUCUUUGAACGCACAUUGCGCCUGAUAGUAUUCUGUCAGGCAUGCCUGUUCGAGCGUCAUUUCAACCCCCAAGCCCUAAUCUGCUUGACGUUGGGAGUUUACGGAGACGUAAUUCCUCAAAUAUAGUGGCGGAGCUAGGUCGUGCUCUAAGCGUAGUAACCACACUCUCGCUUCUGCAGCCGGCCUAGGUCUUGCCGUAAAACCCCUAUAUUUAUUUUUUUACUGGUUGACCUCGGAUCAGGUAGGAAUACCCGCUGAACUUAAGCAUAUCAA